rfam:Weissella paramesenteroides ATCC 33313 genomic scaffold SCAFFOLD3, whole genome shotgun sequence.
AGAAUUGAAGCGAAGUUGGUUAGCAGACGGUUUGCUAAAUCGUUGCUGGUAAAACAGUUGCAGGUUCGAACCCUGUCAAUUCUG